CAGCCGCCGCGGUAAUACAGAGGAUGCAAGCGUUAUCCGGAAUGAUUGGGCGUAAAGCGUCUGUAGGUGGCUUUUCAAGUCCGCCGUCAAAUCCCAGGGCUCAACCCUGGACAGGCGGUGGAAACUACCAAGCUAGAGUACGGUAGGGGCAGAGGGAAUUUCCGGUGGAGCGGUGAAAUGCGUUGAGAUCGAAAAGAACACCAACGACGAAAGCACUCUGCUGGGUCGACACUGACACUGAGAGACGAAAGCUAGGGGAGCAAAUGGGAUUAGAUACCCCUGUAGUCCCUGUCUCUUAUAC
rnacentral:rRNA from 1 species